UUUGUCCCAUAUUAUUCAAAACAAUGAACUUUACUUUAAACAAUACUUGGUGGUGGAAUUCUCGAAACGCAACUUUCGUGAACUAAACCCUAUUGUAUUUUUUAACCAAAACAAUAUAAAGGCUUGUC
rfam:Mangrovimonas yunxiaonensis strain LY01 contig2, whole genome shotgun sequence.